AGCCCCGGGCGGAGGGCCUUCUUCAGAUUUGCAGUCUGACGUGAAACACCACGGGGCCUG
rnacentral:tRNA from 1 species